UGCAGCUUCUGGAAUUAUUGCUGCUCUGCACAUUCACUUAUGGGCCUCUUGGCAGGAUUCCUGCUUUACUGCUAUGUUCUUUGAUCAAAAAGGUAUUAAUCACCUGCUGAGAGAGUGAGGCUAGAGUAAUGAGAAAUUCAUGACAAAAUGGGUUUGCCACUAUUGGCUGCAUAAUUGCUCCAUCUUCUACAUGUGGCUGCUCAAAGCCCCCUCCCUGAAGCUCUGCACUAUUUCUAGGACCGUUUUGUUUUGAAGCCCAGCAAGUGCUUCUUCCUACAUUCCCCACACUCCCCUGGGUUUCCCUCUGGACUCUGCAGAGGAACCAGCGUGACUGAAGUGAUACCUGUGAUGAGGCUCAAGGGGAAGGAAUAUCGGAAAUUUCUCCUGGGAGAAUUCACAGUUCCCCACUUGUUGCCUCAGCCUUACCAUGGAAGAAUUAAUAUCAGAAGGGAAGAAAGGGUAGCUGUGGAGCUUGAAAAACACUGUGUAAUAUCUUGACAAAUCAAUAUCAGCUGUUUGAACUACAUCCCAGUUUGGAAAAAUAUCGUAAUCCACACAUUAUUUUCUGUACAUAUGGGCUUCACCUUGGAAAGAAGAGGUAUCUGGAGUUUGCCUCCCUAAAUAGGAUUCACUCAGCAAUUUCCAAGAAGUUGGAAACAGCAGUGACCUUCCUGCACUCAGCCUCAGCAGAAUGUGCAAGUGGUUCUGUGGAUCACAGUCACAAAUGGAACUUGAUGAACCUCUGCCAUUGCAAAGCCUCCCAAGGAGUUCACAUUUCAACUCUACGCCUUUGUGGUUUCUCUUCUUGUUGGCCUUGUGCUGGCCUACACUUGAUUAUACCAACUCAAGUGCUUUCACAAAGAGUGUCUUCAAAUUCACCAGCAGAUUCUUUCAGUUUUGAUCCCUCGUUUUUCUCCUCAGCCUGUCAGCCCUCACCAUUACCAGCUUCUUUUGAGCUGCUUCUUUUAGCUUUUGCAUCACAGCUGUUAAAAAUGACAAGUGUUUUGACUCACAGUGUUUGGAGAAGAGGCCCAAAAAUACCACACAGUUUUCAGGAUCUAAUUGGUCCCUCAGAGUUUGCUGGUCUGUGACUGGCGUGUUCCCUCUCUUGUGUGCUCGUUGCUGCUCAGCUCUGCAGCUGCAGUGGAAGUGUCAGCAGAGGAUGAGGCAGAGACCUCGAUCCAGGCCUGGCUGGAUCACUCACUGAAAAACUGCCACAGGCUGCCUGUGCACCCCAGAGGACCCUGGCAAAGACAAGUGACCCCUGUCAGCACAGGCUGAUGGUGACAGCAGAAAGCAGCAGUCAGGUAUUGAUGGUAACUCCACUGCCUCAUAAGAAUUUGAACCCAGCCUUUUUUUAGCACAGCCACCAGUGAAUUUAAACAGUCAGGAAGUCAAACACAUUCACUCUGACACAUUCAUAUUUACUUUUCUGUUGUUCUAGCAAACAAAAGGAAAUUAAAAUAGAGCAAAUGAA